rnacentral:rRNA from 1 species
GACGAACGCUGGCGGCGUGCUUAACACAUGCAAGUCGAACGAUGAAAGCUGGAGCUUGCUCCGGCUGGAUUAGUGGCGAACGGGUGAGUAACACGUGAACAAUCUGCCCUUGACUCUGGGAUAACUCCGAGAAAUCGGUGCUAAUACCGGAUAUGACCCUUGGCGGCAUCGCUGGGGGUGGAAAGUUUUUCGGUCAAGGAUGAGCUCGCGGCCUAACAGCUUGUUGGUGAGGUAAUGGCUCACCAAGGCGACGACGGGUAGCCGGCCUGAGAGGGUGACCGGCCACACUGGGACUGAGACACGGCCCAGACUCCUACGGGAGGCAGCAGUGGGGAAUAUUGCACAAUGGGCGCAAGCCUGAUGCAGCAACGCCGCGUGGGGGAUGACGGCCUUCGGGUUGUAAACCUCUUUUAGCAGGGAAGAAGCGAAAGUGACGGUACCUGCAGAAAAAGCACCGGCUAACUACGUGCCAGCCGCCGCGGUAA